UACGUAGGGUCCAAGCGUUAUCCGGAAUCACUGGGCGUAAAGCGUGCGUAGGUGGCGUGUUAAGUGAGAUGUUAAAUCGUGUGGCUCAACCAUAUCGGUGCAUCUCAUACUGGCUUGCUAGAGGACAGCAGAGGCAAGUGGAAUUAGCAGUGUAGCAGUGAAAUGCGUAGAUAUUGCUAGGAACACCAAUGGCGAAGGCAGCUUGCUGGGCUACUCCUGACACUGAGGUACGAAAGCGUGGGGAGCGAACAGG
rnacentral:rRNA from 1 species